rnacentral:rRNA from 1 species
UGGGGAAUUUUGGACAAUGGGCGAAAGCCUGAUCCAGCCAUGCCGCGUGCAGGAUGAAGGCCUCGGGUUGUAAACUGCUUUUGUACGGAACGAAAAGCCUCUUUCUAAUAAAGAGGGGUCAUGACGGUACCGUAAGAAUAAGCACCGGCUAACUACGUGCCAGCAGCCGCGGUAAUACGUAGGGUGCAAGCGUUAACUGACGAUUACUGGGCGUAAAGCGUGCGCAGGCGGUUUUGUAAGACAGAGGUGAAAUCCCCGGGCUCAACCUGGGAAACUGCCUUUGUGACUGCAAGGCUGGAGUGCGGCAGAGGGGGGAUGGAAUUCCGCGUGUAGCAGUGAAAUGCGUAGAUAUGCGGAGGAACACCGAUGGCGAAGGCAAUCCCCCUGGGCCUGCANGACGCUCAUGCACGAAAAGCGU